rfam:Aspergillus versicolor CBS 583.65 unplaced genomic scaffold ASPVEscaffold_2, whole genome shotgun sequence.
GGCAAGGUGGCCGAGUGGUUAAGGCGCACGGUUCAGGAGGUACCUGGACUACUGAAAAUUUCUAUAAAUUUCCGUGUUCUUAAUUGAGCGUGGGUUCGAAUCCCACCCUUGUCA